rnacentral:rRNA from 1 species
UGUGCCCAGAUGGGAUUAGCUGUGGUGGGGUAACGGCUCACCAGGCGACGAUCCCUAGCUGGUCUGAGAGGAUGACCAGCCACACUGGAACUGAGACACGGUCCAGACUCCUACGGGAGGCAGCAUG